UUUGGUGUUUGGCAUUUAUAGUAUAUGUAUUUGAUUAAAUUUAAAAUUUAGAUUUUGUAUUUAGAGUUCACAGUUAUAGUGUAUAUGUUAGAAUUUAGAGUACAAUUUAAAUUUUUGAAAUUUGUAAAUUAGGAUUUAUGAUGUAGGUUAAUAUGACGUAUGUGGUUUAGGGUUUAGGGUUAAGAUUUAUAAUUAAUUAUAUGGUUUGAGUUUAAAGAAUAUAUUUGGAAUCUAAGUUUAAAAUUUAUAUUAUAAAUUAAAAAAAAAGAUUUAUGACUUUGUAUGUAAGAUUUAAGUUUGGGGUUUAGGGUAUUAUAUUUAGGGUAUAGAUUUAAGAUUUAAUGUUUGAGGGUUAUAAUUUAAAUUUGAGAUUCUAUUUUUAAAAUUAUUAAACUUUAAAUUUAAAUUUAAGAUCGAAAUUAUAUUAUGAAAAUAUUGAAAUUUUAGUGUUUAUGUUUAGGGUAAGGGUUUAAACCCCAAAUUAAAGUAUAUAUUUAGAGUUUGGGGGAUGAUUGUUUAAAGUAUAUAUUUAGAAUAUGAAAUUAAUCUUUAAAAAAAUAGGAUUUUAACUAUUCAAUUUUUUUAU
rnacentral:lncRNA from 1 species